AUUGAACGCUGGCGGCAUGCCUUACACAUGCAAGUCGAACGGCAGCACGGGUGCUUGCACCUGGUGGCGAGUGGCGAACGGGUGAGUAAUACAUCGGAACAUGUCCUGUAGUGGGGGAUAGCCCGGCGAAAGCCGGAUUAAUACCGCAUACGAUCUACGGAUGAAAGCGGGGGACCUUCGGGCCUCGCGCUAUAGGGUUGGCCGAUGGCUGAUUAGCUAGUUGGUGGGGUAAAGGCCUACCAAGGCGACGAUCAGUAGCUGGUCUGAGAGGACGACCAGCCACACUGGGACUGAGACACGGCCCAGACUCCUACGGGAGGCAGCAGUGGGGAAUUUUGGACAAUGGGCGAAAGCCUGAUCCAGCAAUGCCGCGUGUGUGAAGAAGGCCUUCGGGUUGUAAAGCACUUUUGUCCGGAAAGAAAUCCUUGGCUCUAAUACAGUCGGGGGAUGACGGUACCGGAAGAAUAAGCACCGGCUAACUACGUGCCAGCAGCCACGGUAAUACGUAGGGUGCGAGCGUUAAUCGGAAUUACUGGGCGUAAAGCGUGCGCAGGCGGUUUGCUAAGACCGAUGUGAAAUCCCCGGGCUCAACCUGGGAACCGCAUUGGUGACUGGCAGGCUAGAGUAUGGCAGAGGGGGGUAGAAUUCCACGUGUAGCAGUGAAAUGCGUAGAGAUGUGGAGGAAUACCGAUGGCGAAGGCAGCCCCCUGGGCCAAUACUGACGCUCAUGCACGAAAGCGUGGGGAGCAAACAGGAUUAGAUACCCUGGUAGUCCACGCCCUAAACGAUGUCAACUAGUUGUUGGGGAUUCAUUUCCUUAGUAACGUAGCUAACGCGUGAAGUUGACCGCCUGGGGAGUACGGUCGCAAGAUUAAAACUCAAAGGAAUUGACGGGGACCCGCACAAGCGGUGGAUGAUGUGGAUUAAUUCGAUGCAACGCGAAAAACCUUACCUACCCUUGACAUGGUCGGAAUCCCGCUGAGAGGUGGGAGUGCUCGAAAGAGAACCGGCGCACAGGUGCUGCAUGGCUGUCGUCAGCUCGUGUCGUGAGAUGUUGGGUUAAGUCCCGCAACGAGCGCAACCCUUGUCCUUAGUUGCUACGCAAGAGCACUCUAAGGAGACUGCCGGUGACAAACCGGAGGAAGGUGGGGAUGACGUCAAGUCCUCAUGGCCCUUAUGGGUAGGGCUUCACACGUCAUACAAUGGUCGGAACAGAGGGUUGCCAACCCGCGAGGGGGAGCUAAUCCCAGAAAACCGAUCGUAGUCCGGAUUGCACUCUGCAACUCGAGUGCAUGAAGCUGGAAUCGCUAGUAAUCGCGGAUCAGCAUGCCGCGGUGAAUAAGUUCCCGGGUCU
rnacentral:rRNA from 1 species